rnacentral:lncRNA from 10 species
CCCCCUCCCAAGAAGACACCCCACUUCCCACCUGGGGAACCCCAAGAGGGUUCACUUCUUCAUGUUUGUGCAGUGCAUGGAGGUUCGCCUGGCCCUUGCUGCUCCCCGAGGGCCCGGGGAACCACUUGGAAAAUCUGGUCUCCAACCAGCCCCUCACUAGCUGUGUGAAGUUGAGCUCAUUUACUCCCUCUCUGAGCUUCAGUCGCCCACCUCCCUCCUACAACAUGAGGGGCUGGAUCAGACAGGGGGCAGCAAGCUCCAGCGCCGCCUUCCUAGAUCAGUAAUCAGUGAACCCCUGCACCCUUGCACCCUUGCACCCUCCUGGGGCAGCCAUUUCUCAAGCUAUGUGGGGAAGGACUGCAGGGAGCAAUGUGGCCCUGGGUGCCCUGACUGAGAUGACCUUGACCAUUCAGGCAUCCUCUAGCAGACUUUCUGGAUGUGUUUCCAAGUCGUUGGGCCUUAAGGAAAUACCACUGGGCCAGAUGGGGCAGCUGCUGUGACACCACUGAUGUCCCCGGCAGGGAGCCGCUUUUUCCAGCAUCCCAGAAACUGCCUGAACUGUGCUGUAGGCAUGAAUCCCACUCCCUGACACCCUCCUCUGCUCCACUGCAUCCUAAAUUGCAACCCAGCCCUUUCUCAAUGGCUGUCUUGGUCUCCCAUUCCAGCACAGGCUCCACUUAUGCUGCCCUCCUGCUAACUGCUCCCAAUCCCCUUCCCAUUCCCUGGAUUCCAAAUGGAGCCAGGAAAUUAAUCUGCCCUUAAAAAGGCUGUCCUUGUUUUGAAUUUGAUUGGCAAUGCAAUAAUGGUCAUCAUGAAAAAUAUGGGAAAGUAAAAAAAACCUGGAGAAGAAAAUAAAAUCAUUUGCAAACCUGGUGUUCAGCUUAUGACUAGAUAUAAUUGGUUUCCUUCCAGUCUUGUAAGAAAUGGGUAUGUGCUCAUACAGAACAGCAACAACAAAGCUCUUCCAGUCUUGGUUUGGAUGGAGGUAGGAAGA